rnacentral:lncRNA from 1 species
ACCUAUUCAUUACUUGUUUCGAACCACCACUGCGAUGUCUAGCCCAGCUUAUCUGUAUCCUUUCAUGGAGCCUUACGAUGCAAAUAAAGCUAUCGAAGCCCUUAAAGUUCUUGAGGAAUAUUUUACUUGCUCUCGCCAAGAUGCAGACGCUAUUUUGAAGCCUGUACGCGAGGCGAUGGCAAUAGUAGGCAAACGGGCAAAUGAGGAGUUCCUCAUUCAAGCUAUUUGAAAUCGCCGUCGUCGAAAGAAGCAUUACGAUGACGACAAGAAAAGGCCAGAUGGUAAACCUGGGUGUGUAUUCUUACCCAACAAAGAACAAAGCCAUUACAAAGGGAACAAUCUAGAUGCCAUAUUGUGUAAUCGGUGUAGAAAUCCUAUUAUUUUUAAUUAACUUUUUUUGUAUAAAUCAUUGUUAUUUCAAUACAAAACCUCAGGCUAACUUUUGGUUGUCGCGCA